UUCCUACGGGUGGCAGCAGUGGGGAAUAUUGGGCAAUGGGCGAAAGCCUGACCCAGCGACGCCGCGUGGGCGAUGAAGGCCUUCGGGUUGUAAAGCCCUGUCAUGCGGAAAGAACGACCCUGAGACGCAUACUCUCAGGGAGUGACGGUACCGCAGGAGGAAGCACCGGCUAACUCCGUGCCAGCAGCCGCGGUAAUACGGAGGGUGCAAGCGUUGUUCGGAAUUAUUGGGCGUAAAGGGCGCGUAGGCGGUAAUGUAAGUCAGAUGUGAAAUACUUCGGCUCAACUGAAGAACUGCAUCUGAAACUACAUAACUAGAGUACAGAAGAGGGAAACGGAAUUCCCGGUGUAGAGGUGAAAUUCGUAGAUAUCGGGAGGAACACCAGUGGCGAAGGCGGUUUCCUGGUCUGAUACUGACGCUGAGGCGCGAAAGUGUGGGGAGCAAACAGGAUUAGAUACCCCUGUAGUCGUC
rnacentral:rRNA from 1 species